rnacentral:rRNA from 1 species
UACGAAGGGGGCGAGCGUUGUUCGGAUUUACUGGGCGUAAAGGGCGCGCAGGCGGCGCAUUUUGUCAGGCGUGAAAGCCCCGGGCUUAACCUGGGAACUGCGUUUGAUACGGAUGGGCUAGAGUUCGGGAGAGGAGAGUGGAAUUCCCAGUGUAGAGGUGAAAUUCGUAGAUAUUGGGAAGAACACCGGUGGCGAAGGCGGCUAUCUGGACAGAGUCUGACGCUGAGGCGCGAAAGCUAGGGGAGCAAACAGG